UCUAGAGACCUUGCUCCAUAGCCAGUGCCAACUUCGAGUUUCAUUCCAUCAAUUAACACUCUUAAUUAGAGAAGAAAAGAAGAGAGAAAAGAAAUAUCAAGGGCAUCAAUUGGAAAUUCCCUCUUCUCUCUCUUUUAUUUCACUAAUUUUUGAGUUCUUGUGUUCUUGUUGUUCUUGUUUUUGUUCUUCGUGUUCUUAAUACAGGAUGAAUCACAAAGUUGGAGGAGCUCUUAGGAGCAUCGGAAGACACUUUCAUUCUGCAGCACCUGGAGCCAUUCAUCAUCUCAAGCACCUUCACGUAUAGGUUCUGGGAUGGACAUCGAUCUGCCAUCACCUUCCGAGCAUCACACCCCAUCAUCCUCUUCCCAAUGGAAAGAGAGGUGCGUCACAUGAGCCACAUCAGCCAUGGUCCAACCACUCAGGAUGGGAGGACCAAGCCACGUAUGAGCAAGGAGAGCUGUCUACAUCCAUAGGAUGGGGAACAUUCCCCACACAGGAGCCAAAUGAGACCAGGAAAAAUUUUCAGACGGGCCAUGCAUCAUCUUCUGUGUGCGGAAAUACGGACCACAUCACUGGUGGACCAUACCUGUUCCAUGCACCACCAGCAGAUGAAUGAAUGUGCCCUCAUGAACAACACUUCGGGGCUUCUAUUAAUGAUUAUCUUGCUAUGUCUUUGCAUCUCAUUAACCUUCAGCAGGGACAGCAGGCGAUGAACGACACUUUGCGCCGACAUGAGCAGUGGCAGCAUCACAUUGAUGAUACGUUUCAGCAACACGAGCAUUGGCAGCACCAGACGGAUCAGCAGUUCAGGCAGUUACAUGAGGGACAACAGCAUAUACAGACCGGAUUAGAGUACCUGAUAGAGCUUAUGGGGUUCCAACCACCACCUCCACCACAUUUCUGAGCCCGGUAACAUUCAGCUAGGGGGAGAGCCCCCGCAAGGCAAUAUGGAGUAUCUAAACUGGUCACCACUAGAUUCAUUGGAAACUAGACUCGACAAGCUUUCCAACAAGUCCUCAUGGACCUUCAUAGCUUUUGUGAGUAAAAAGUUAUGAAGAUUUAUUUGCACUGGUCCAUUUCUGACUUCCAUUGGUCCGUUUUUUACUUCUUCUAGUCUGGUUUGAUAGUGUCUUCUAGGACUUGCACUGGUCUGUUCUUCAUGGUCUGAUUCAUUCUUCUCUUCUUCUAUAUACCUGAGUACAA